CACGUAGGCGGUUUGGUAAGUCUGAUGUGAAAGCCCUGGACUUAAUCCAGGAAGUGCAUUGGAUACUGCCAGACUAGAGGACAGGAGAGGUGAGCGGAAUUCCAGGUGUAGAGGUGAAAUUCGUAGAUAUCUGGAGGAACAACGGAGGCGAAGGCGGCUCACUGGACUGUUACUGACGCUGAGGUGCGAAAGCGUGGGGAGCGAACG
rnacentral:rRNA from 1 species